AGAGUUUGAUCAUGGCUCAGGAUGAACGCUAGCGGCAGGCUUAAUACAUGCAAGUCGUGGGGCAGCGCAGUGUAGCAAUACAUGGGCGGCGACCGGCAAACGGGUGCGGAACACGUACGCAACCUUCCUUUAAGCGGGGAAUAGCCCAGGGAAACUUGGAUUAAUACCCCAUAAGAUUAUGGUGUGGCAUCACACAGUAAUUAAAGCUCCGGCACUUAAAGAUGGGCGUGCGGCUGAUUAGGUAGUUGGCGGAGUAACAGCCCACCAAGCCAACGAUCAGUAACUGGUGUGAGAGCACGACCAGUCACACGGGCACUGAGACACGGGCCCGACUCCUACGGGAGGCAGCAGUAAGGAAUAUUGGUCAAUGGACGCAAGUCUGAACCAGCCAUGCCGCGUGAAGGAUGACUGCCCUCUGGGUUGUAAACUUCUUUUAUCUGGGAAGAAACCACUCUUUUCUAAGGGUGUUGACGGUACCAGUUGAAUAAGCACCGGCUAACUCCGUGCCAGCAGCCGCGGUAAUACGGAGGGUGCAAGCGUUAUCCGGAUUCACUGGGUUUAAAGGGUGCGUAGGUGGGCAGGUAAGUCAGUGGUGAAAUCUCCGGGCUUAACCCGGAAACUGCCGUUGAUACUAUCUGUCUUGAAUGUAGUGGAGGUGAGCGGAAUAUGUCAUGUAGCGGUGAAAUGCUUAGAUAUGACAUAGAACACCCAUUGCGAAGGCAGCUCGCUACACUAUUAUUGACACUGAGGCACGAAAGCGUGGGGAUCAAACAGGAUUAGAUACCCUAGUAGUCC
rnacentral:rRNA from 1 species